rnacentral:rRNA from 1 species
CCUACGGGAGGCUGCAGUGAGGAAUAUUGGUCAAUGGCCGGAAGGCUGAACCAGCCAUGCCGCGUGAAGGUCAGUGCCCUAUGGGCGUUAAACUUCUUUUGUGCGGGAGCAAUAAUGGUCACGUGUGGCCAGACGAGAGUACCGUACGAAUAAGCAUCGGCUAACUCCGUGCCAGCAGCCGAGGUAAUACGGGGGAUGCAAGCGUUAUCCGGAUUUAUUGGGUUUAAAGGGUGCGUAGGCUGUGAGGUAAGUCAGCGGGGAAAUGCCCCCGCUCAACGGGGUGAAGUGCAAUUGAUACUGCCUUGCUGGAAUGCGGAUGCGGUGGGAGGAAUGUGUGGUGUAGCGGUGAAAUGCAUAGAUAUCACACAGAACACCGAUUGCGAAGGCAUCUCACGAAACCGCGAUUGACGCUGAUGCACGAAAGCGUGGGUAUCAAACAGGAUUAGAUACCCCUGUAGUC